rnacentral:misc_RNA from 1 species
AAGUCGUAACAAGGUCUCCGUUGGUGAACCAGCGGAGGGAUCAUUACCGAGUUAUUACUCCAAACCCUUUGUGAACCUUAUCUUCAAUUUAUAGCGUACCUUCUGAUUUACAAAACAAACAAGUUAAAACUUUCAACAACGGAUCUCUUGGUUCUG